CCGAACACUACUAACACUCUGUUGGAGUUCGGGGAGAGGCCAAGGCGCGGUGGUGGACACCGCCAUCCCUCUCAGAUCCGGGGCUGAGAGAGGGAGGGAGGGAGGGAGGUGGGUCACCUACGAGAGAGAGCACUCACGCCCUCGCUCGUCAGUCGUCACCCAGGGGCCGCCACCGCCGCUGCCAUGCCAUGGGCUUCGUCCGAUCUGCGCUCGCCGAUUCGUUUGAAGAAGGAUCUGGCCAUUGACUGCUGGUGCUUCCCCUCCCCGGGCGAUCAGCCAUGACUUGGGAUAGUACUUCUAUCCAGCAAGCAGCAUUUUGGAUGUGACCUCCAGCUCAAGCAGAGCAUCAAAAAUAGGGGCUCUAUCUGCUAAUGGGGUAGCCGGCAAUGCAGUCUAAGAGCUACAUCUCGUGUGAUUUCUGGAUAUGAGAACUUGAAGAAGAACAAGCUUGAUGCUAUUAUUGAAAAAAAAUCUAUGCUACAUGUAUUCCUUUAAGUACUGUUGCCAGAAACCUUAAUUAGCUACUGUUUUUUAUGAAAUGGAUGUGAUUUAUUUGUGAACUUUAGAGCUUUUGAGUUGUAAUUUGUGAUGUUUGAACCCUUGCCAGACUAUCAAAUUAUGCUAUGUGUGCCUGAAGGUCAAUACAAGGGUAUUCAUCAUAUGAAAAUUCAUUACUUUAUAUAUAUAGAAAAACGUAUCCGCAUAUCUGUGCUUUGAGACGAGGGACAACCCUGAGAACUAGCUUGAGGUUCCACAAAAAGUCCAAAUAAUCAUACUAAUGUUUCAGACUUUUACUUAAGCAUUGUAGAAAUCUGGAAAACAUAGGACUAUAUUAAACUUAGUUUAGUUUUUCUGGAAUGAAGAUAAAGUACAUAUCUAACAGUCUGUAUUUAUACAGUCAUGCUUCUAUAGAUUUUACAGUUUUGUUUUCUCUUUAAAUUUGCUUUAGUAGUUCUAUAACUUCCAGAAUAGUUCAUGUAUCCCAUAUUUUCCCAGGAUUCUUCUUUGCAUCCCAUACACUUAGACGGAGUGGGAGGCUGCCGCAGCGUUGCUGGACUCGGAGCCAAAGCCAUCCGACGCCGCCAACAGGUUGCACCUAUUCGCGGAAAUGACCACAGCUGUGAUGUCUGUAUAGAAAAUCAGUAUUUUCUUGGUUCAUAUCCUAUCUGAAACUUGGAAUGUUAAUUUUUAGGCACAACUUAACUUUCACUGUAGCCUGCAUAUUCUUCUACUCACAAACAGGGCAAAACAUGCACCAUAGAAUGCUGGGAGAACAUAGAUUUAUUUUGCUCUUCGUACUUUUAUUAGAUAAGCCACAUUGCAAAGAGAAUAUGGAUUUAUGUUGAUCUUCCUACUAUUAUUAGAUAGGCCACAUUCUUUUUGUUUCAUUCAUGCCUUUGUUGCUAACAGUAUGGUUGUGUAAAUUCAACAUUGAUGUUUAAUUUUACAUGAUUUACACAAAACUUGUAUUCAUAUUACAUGAGAUGUUGCAUGUGCUAACAGUCUGAUGCCUUCAGAAUUGGCUCUCAAAACUUUCAACCAUGAUUAGAGCUAGCAUACAGUUUGCAGUUUUUAGGGUCUACCUCGGCUUCUGGGCAAGAUAUUGUUUAAUUUUAGGUAAGCUCUAAUUUGUAAAGCAUUAUUGCAGCUUUUAGAAACUUUGAAUCUCAGAUUUAUUGAGAUAUCAAAAUCCCAGUUUGAGAUUCAUCGAGAUAAGGAGAUCUAAUUCGACCAUGUAAUUUGAAUCUUACUCCAAUGAGUAUUGUUGAUUGUCGUUUUUAACAAUAUUACUCAACUUAUGGUCACUUCCCUUUGUUUAGUUCAGCGCCAUUAUUUUCUCUUAUUCUUUUUGGUAAAAAGAAAUCUCUCACUAUCAAAUGUAUUAUGUAAUCCUUUUCUGCUCAGCGGUAGUAAAUUUCAUAGAGGUUAUGUAAUAUAUAAUGUCA